ACCCAGGUUAAAUUAUUCCUAAUAAUUACCACUGAUUAUAAGAAUUUAAUAAGUUAAACAUAAGAUAAUGAAUUAUUAUAGAAAUAAUAAAAUUAGAUAUUUCAAAAAAAAAACAGUUCUUAUCUCUGAAAAUAACCUAAUAAAAAUAAGGAAACGUAAAAAGAAAAUAUAUAUAUAAUAUAAAAUAAUGGUAUUAUUAGAAAGGCAGCGACGGUACAAAGAACCGCCCACUACGCCACAACCUCACCAGUAAAAAGCAAGUUAACCACCCACUGCGGAAAAAUAUGACCAAUUAAAAAGUUAUCAAGUAAGUUAGUCCAGAGCCACCCACUGCGGAAAAAUGCCACCAAUCACAAGUUAGUAAGCAGAUUAGUCCAGAGCUACGUGACAAAGAUCGCUCGCACUUACGAGUUGGAAGCUGAGCCAGCCGGAUCGCGACGCAGCGGUUGAGCCAGGAGACGGAGCGAGCCGUUUAGAAUUUUGGAUCUAACAAGUGAAUAUCGCAGAUCAGGAGCUAUUAGCCGCUUUUGUUAAAGCUGGGAAACUAAUACGCUAGUUUAGCCUUGCCAAUCUGCCGAGUGCAUUGGACUUUUGGAGUCAUCUCAUGCGCGGAACCGAGUUUUCGCCGCUGGUUGCCAGAUAGUCUGAAACUAAACGAUUCCGGAUCGGAUUUGGCCAGUUUUGAUUGGGAUACACUGCUGAUAAGAAUCUGCCGCCUGGUCACGAGAGCCCAGUUGAGUAGGAGACGCGAUGGCGAGCCUCAGCCCAAAGGAACUUCGUACCUGAGCCUUAAAUCUUGAGUAUCCCUUCUGUUUUUUUUUACGGUUGGACCUUUUUUUUCUUUCCUCCUCGUUCCAAGUGAGUUACACUGCGUUACCUGCAUAACGAACAGAAACCGAUAAACUGAUUCUUGGACGGACUGAAACACUUAAAGAACAGACUUUGCUUCGUCCAGUCACAUUUAAUGUGAAUUGAACUGAAUUGAUUUACAUCGAAAAUACUGUGGGUUUAAUUCUAAUAAGCUACUGAAUACUGAAUAUUGCACUGUUUUGUUAUUUUAUUUUAUUAUUUGGGUGAAUUUGUGAAUUAUUGGGUUUUAUAUUGUGUUGGGAGAAAAGGUACCUUGGUGUGUGACAUUCCAGAAUUAUAACUACAGGUUCAAUACUCACCUCUUAACCAAUUGAAAUAGACAAGUGAAUACUUACAUUAAUCCUCUAAUCAAUAAUUAUACUUACCUUAAUAAUUAUACUUACCUUAAUAAUUAUACUUACCUUAAUUGUCAAACCAAAACCUAAAAGAAAGAUAACGAGAUAACCAUUAAUAAUAACUAAAUAAUACUAAACCUAAAAUAAUAGUAAUCCUUAAAGUACUAAAAUUAUUCCACAGGACUGAGUUAUAAAAUAGGAAACCUUUAGAAUAUAAUAGAGCUUGAGACAUACCACAAAGGGAAAACCAACUAUAUUUUUGUGAAUAUAUUGUUUUAUGAUUGUUUACUUUUGGGAGUAACUACCUGAUUUGUUUAUUUGUAAACCUUGCUUAUAUUUUUCUGUUUUGUUUUAUCUACUGUUUUAUUUACCUUUCUACAUCAGUUGCCUCUAUUUUAACAGUGUCAAUACAUUUACUGAAAAUUUCUAAAGUCAGAUUGAGUGUCUUUAUCCUUUCUGCUUCACGAGCGAACCUAGACUGGUCCAUUUUCUCUCUCUAUCCUUUGGGAUUAAAUUUAUACCUGCAGCCGACCCCCAGGGGGCGCUACAGAACUUGGCGAGCCAGCCAGGAGCAGUUAACACUAAAAGACACUUAAAUAAAAGCUUCCACCCAACUUACUAUAAUUAUUCAAAUUAGAGUACUUUGUCAAUUAAGCUGAUAAAACAGAAA